AACACUCUAACAAUGCCUAUGAUCUUGUUGUCAGUUCUGUUUUACUUGGGUCUUCACAGGUUGUGUGGUAUUUAACGGUGUGAACUCUUUCGGUAAAUCAAUAGGUGCUGCAUUUCAAACAGAGGUAUUCCCACACUCUUGAGAAAUGCAAUAGUUAAAAUUUGUUUAAAUAUUAUACAGGAAUCAUAUGAUUUUAUUUCUGCUUCUUUGAUAUAAUUGAAUAACUGUUAGUUUAUUCAUGUUUGGAAUAAAGCAUUGUAAAGUGAA